UCACCGACAUAUACAUAUUUCAUACAGAAAUAUGCUGUUAGACAAAGAAUGCAAGCACUGACCAGGUCUGUUGUCAGUAGUAUACAUUUUAACAGUUAAGAUACAAAAAAAAUAAAGAAUACAAUUUUAUAAAAAAGAAAGAAUAUGUACAGUCGCCUAUAUCGUUAUAUUUUAAAAGAAAAAUGUACUUCAAGAUAUGUAUUAGAAGCGAAAAGUCAAAAUACGUUAAAUUUAGACAAUUACUAUUGAAAAUGUAGCCUUGCUGCUGCAAUGUAUUGUCAAACAUUUGUCUGGCUAUAUCUAAAAGUAAACAACGCUUGAGCGUUAGAUUUACAUACAUAUGUAGAUAUCUGAAAGAUAUGGAACAUCUGGAACAGAAUCCAAAUGCGGAAGUGUUUUGGCAGAAUUCAUAGACCAACGCAGUGGCUUUAUGUUCCGCAGACAUGGGAAAAGAUCUUAAGAAGAACACACACAGGAGUUUGCUCACAGCUAGAAAAAAGCUAUAGUUUUGACCAUAUUAUGUUACGUGAUUUUUACGUAAUGUGGAUUACGUGAUGUGGAUUACAUCUAUCUAGGAAUACCAACGAUAUUAUUAGUCCGCGUACAUUGGAAAUUGUUAUUUUAAAAGAUAUAAAUGGACUGGCAGACUAAAAAAAAGUAACUAAACUUGUAGCCUUAGUUGCAACUGUCAAGCUCAUUAGUGGUGGCUACGAUCCCUGAGCGAACCGGGAUUAACUCAAACGGCCAAAUCGCUCAGCAGGUUUCCCAUUGGGGGCGCCUCGAAAACCACCGUUACAUCGUGCUACCAACUGCAACAAAGCAAUCCAUUUUACUCUCAUCCAAAAGCAUCGAUUUUAAAAUGAAAUUGUUAUUGUUGUCAGCUCUAUCACCAAGUUCACAUGGGCAGAGCAAUGUGCAAC